GUCCAGGACCAUCCCCUGCAUUAAUAAUAGGAAUACUAGCAGUAACUGCAGCUCUUCUUGCGGCCCCACUUUCAAAAUGACGCAUAACAAUAAUGUCUGAAUACCCUUCAACAGUUCUAAUAGUAUCUUCAAGUGUCUCUCCUUUGGCAGCCGACCUUGCAUUUUCAGUAGUCAAAACCUCACCACCUAACCGUUUCAUGGCAGACUCAAAAGAAAGCCUAGUGCGAGUAGAUGGCUCAUAAAAAAGGGUAGCCAUGAGAUAACCCUUAAGGAUUUGACUACCAGGAGAAUUCUUCUCAAUUUUUUCCAUUUCUCGUGCAACUUCAAAUAUGGCACUGAGAAUUUCUC
rnacentral:misc_RNA from 1 species